rnacentral:misc_RNA from 2 species
AAGUCGUAACAAGGUCUCCGUUGGUGAACCAGCGGAGGGAUCAUUACCGAGUACUAUAACUCAUAACCCUUUGUGAACCUUUAUACCUGUUGCUUCGGCGGCGCGCCUCCCGGGGCGUGCCCGCCGGUAUCAUCAGAAUCUCUGUUCGAACCCGACGAUAUUUCUGAGUGUUCUAAGCGAACUGUUAAAACUUUCAACAACGGAUCUCUUGGCUCCA